rnacentral:rRNA from 1 species
UACGCAGGGGGCUAGCGUUGUUCGGAAUCACUGGGCGUAAAGCGCACGUAGGCGGACUUUUAAGUCAGGGGUGAAAUCCCAAGGCUCAACCUUGGAACUGCCUUUGAUACUGGAAGUCUUGAGUUCGGGAGAGGUGAGUGGAACUGCGAGUGUAGAGGUGAAAUUCGUAGAUAUUCGCAAGAACACCAGUGGCGAAGGCGGCUCACUGGCCCGAUACUGACGCUGAGGUGCGAAAGCGUGGGGAGCAAACAGG